AGCGAACGCUGGCGGCAGGCCUAACACAUGCAAGUCGAGCGAACUCUUCGGAGUUAGUGGCGGACGGGUGAGUAACACGUGGGAACGUGCCUUUUGGUUCGGAAUAACUCAGGGAAACCUGUGCUAAUACCGAAUGUGCCCUUCGGGGGAAAGAUUUAUCGCCAUUAGAGCGGCCCGCGUCUGAUUAGCUAGUUGGUGAGGUAACGGCUCACCAAGGCGACGAUCAGUAGCUGGUCUGAGAGGAUGACCAGCCACACUGGGACUGAGACACGGCCCAGACUCCUACGGGAGGCAGCAGUGGGGAAUCUUGCGCAAUGGGCGAAAGCCUGACGCAGCCAUGCCGCGUGAAUGAUGAAGGUCUUAGGAUUGUAAAAUUCUUUCACCGGGGACGAUAAUGACGGUACCCGGAGAAGAAGCCCCGGCUAACUUCGUG
rnacentral:rRNA from 1 species